UACAGAGGUCCCAAGCGUUGUUCGGAUUCACUGGGCGUAAAGGGUGCGUAGGCGGUCAUUUAAGUCUGACGUGAAAUCUCCGGGCCUAACCCGGAAACUGCGUUGGAAACUAUCUGACUAGGGGAAUGGAGGGGAGACUGGAAUACUUGGUGUAGCAGUGAAAUGCGUAGAUAUCAAGUGGAACACCAGUGGCGAAGGCGAGUCUCUGGACAUUUCCUGACGCUGAGGCACGAAAGCCAGGGGAGCAAACGGG
rnacentral:rRNA from 1 species